UUUGCCUCCACAGAACCACCGAGGCAUGGACAGAAGAUAUAUCCUGGUGUACAGCCUGGCUGGAGUCCUGUGUCCUCCUUUCCAUACUGAAAGAAUGAUGGUAACAGAUCCACUUUACCAGGAAGAUGGAUGGAUAGCUCAUAAUCUGGAUUUGAGACCUGACACGUAACCUAUUCCAGCCAUAAACCAGCAACGGUCUGGGCACAUUUAAUCUGAGGGGAUUCCAGAUGGCUGUUGUAAUAGAGAGUGACCAGUCUUUCAGUGUGUGGUCUGUGCUUAAUCUGAGCUGGC